UCCCUGGUAGUCCAAUGGUUACAACUUGGCACUUUUACUGCCAAGAGUCCAGGUUCAAUCCCUGGUCAGGGAA